GCAAGUCGAACGGGAUUCGGGGUAGCAAUACUUUGAUGAGAGUGGCGCACGGGUGCGUAACGCGUAUGCAACCUACCUUUAACAGGGGAAUAGCCCCGAGAAAUCGGGAUUAAUACUCCGUAACAUUGCGGUGUGGCAUCACACUGCACUUAAAGCUGAGGCGGUUAAAGAUGGGCAUGCGUGACAUUAGCUAGUUGGUGAGGUAACGGCUCACCAAGGCAACGAUGUCUAGGGGUCCUGAGAGGGUUAUCCCCCACACUGGUACUGUGACACGGACCAGACUCCUACGGGAGGCAGCAGUAAGGAAUAUUGGUCAAUGGGCGCAAGCCUGAACCAGCCAUGCCGCGUGCAGGAAGACGGCCCUAUGGGUUGUAAACUGCUUUUAUCAGGGAAUAAACCCCCGCUCGUGAGCGGGGCUGAAGGUACCUGAAGAAUAAGCAUCGGCUAACUCCGUGCCAGCAGCCGCGGUAAUACGGAGGAUGCAAGCGUUAUCCGGAUUCAUUGGGUUUAAAGGGUGCGCAGGCGGAUUGGUAAGUCAGGGGUGAAAUCCCACAGCUCAACUGUGGAACUGCCUUUGAUACUGUCAGUCUAGAGUAUAGUUGAAGUUGGCCGGAAUGUGUCAUGUAGCGGUGAAAUGCUUAGAUAUGACACAGAACACCGAUCGCGAAGGCAGCUAGCCUAAGCUAUAACUGACGCUCAUGCACGAAAGCGUGGGGAUCAAACAGGAUUAGAUACCCUGGUAGUCCACGCUGUAAACGAUGAUACUCGAUGUUGGCGAUAACACAGUCAGCGUCUGAAGCGAAAGCAAUAAGUAAUCCACCUGGGGAGUACGAUCGCAAGAUUGAAACUCAAAGGAAUUGACGGGGGCCCGCACAAGCGGAGGAGC
rnacentral:rRNA from 1 species